UCCCUGGUAGUCUAGUGGUUAGGACUCAGCACUUUCACGGCUGCAGCCCAGGUUCAGUCCCUGGUCUGGGAA
rfam:Sus scrofa isolate TJ Tabasco breed Duroc chromosome 4, whole genome shotgun sequence.